UCGUUGUGGUUGGCUUUAGAAUUCCUACGCUUUACCGUGUUAAAUAGAAUUCUGGCAAAGCGUUUGGAUUCUGAAACCAAAUGCAA
rfam:Lutzomyia longipalpis Contig28304, whole genome shotgun sequence.